rnacentral:misc_RNA from 1 species
GCCAAUCGUACAUAUUUGCCAUCAACAACAAAUUUAGAACUUGAAUUUAUCUUAUGCUCAAUUGUGUCACUGACUUGGCUUUCGUCUUCUACCAUGCCAGACACAUUCACAGACUUCAGAACGAUCUUUUUAAGCUUCUUCAACUUCAGAACUCCAUCGGAAUUAGAUUUCAAAGCUAAUGUGAUCACUUUCUUCCACUUUAUCUUCUUCUUGCUGUCGUUUCUGUUAGACCCAUCCACGACAGCUUUAUCUUGCUUCACUGUUUCAUUUUUGGCUUUCUUCUUGUGUUUUGUUUCCUGUUCUUUUUCGACCUGGAUCACUUCACCAAUAUCUAAUUCAGCAGAAAGUUUGUCACCACCAUUUUCAGAUUCCCUGUCUUUCCUUUUCUUAUUUGAAAGAAAAUUAUCAUUUUCUGCUUCUUUUGAGUUUUGCUCCUUCAAUCCCUCACCUGCUUUGUUCUCAGGAAUCUCGCUCUUUUGAUUAUUAUCAUUUAAGACAUCCACACCACCAUCAGCUGGUUCAGUCUGCUUAGGCUGCUUAGCAGCAUGGAAAGCCCGUGCCUUCGCUCUAUGUUUCUUACCAUCAGCAUGGAGAAGUAGAGUCUGCUUGCUAGUUGCAUUGGUAUUACACAAACUACAAAACCAAGGUGGACGGUCUGACAAUCCAACAUUGAUGUCUACAUCAGGCUUUUGCUUAGCAUCACUGCUGGGCUUGACAGGAGCUCCAUUUGAAGCUUUUCCUUGGCCCUUUGGACCAUAUUUCUCCGCUUCAGAGAUGCAUUGGGUGUGAGUUUCCACAGUUUGACGACUAAAAGUCUCUCCACAAUCAAUGCAAGAUAGCUUAAAAGCAGAACACAUUCGAAAGUGGUUUGCCAAUUUGGGUUUCUUCAAAUUGUCUCCACAAUCUUCACACUGAAACCAAACCAUUCUGAGCUAAUUCAACCGGAAAACAAAAAAUGGUGUGUGGUUAGGGUUUUAGGGAUUGAGG